CUUACAUUUUGGAAUCUUCAAACUACUGUUCACCGUCAACCACAUUACAAUACCAGAAAGUUUAGGUUUUAAGAAGGAAGAGAACUUCGAAUAAUGGGUUCCGAAAUCGACAUUGGAAGUUCAUUCUGGAAACGGUAUUUUCACAGUGAAGAGGAUGCCAGGAAAAUCGACAUUUUUGACUUGAUCAAUGCUUCGAUCACAGUCGCCUGUUUCAAGAAACCAGAUGAGUUUCGCUCAAAAAGGUUGUGGAUUAUGGAGUCCCUUUUCGCCGAUGAUUUUAAGGCCAAAACGGGUUCGC
rnacentral:lncRNA from 1 species